UGUAGCUCCCACUGUCCCAUCUGGUUUUAUCUGAAUUUGGAAGCUAAGCAGGGUCAGGCCUAGUUAUGACUUGGAUGGGUGACUACCAGAAACUCCCAGGUAGGACUUAGGA
rnacentral:rRNA from 1 species